GUGUCCAGUCAUGUGGUCUUUGUCUCAGUCCAUGGCAUUAGAUGCACUGGCAGGACACACAGUAAUAUCCGUCCAUUAAAGGGGACAUUUCCCAAGCAGGACUUGAUCCUAAAGGCAGGACGGAACAUC
ensembl:scaRNA small Cajal body-specific RNA 11